AGAAACAACUAAUGGAGGGUGAGUUGUGGGUAGGAAAGAAAUAAAUCAUCCAAUUGGCAUAAUAACUAAAUAAAAUUGUGGAUUGGGAAAAAAUAUAAACAAAGGGGAUUGUGGGUUGCGAAAUGAAAAAUCCUGGUCCGCAUAAAUAAAGGGAAUUGUGGACUGCGAAAUGAAAAAUCUCAGUUGACAUAAAUAAUGGAAAUUGUGGGUUGCGAAACGGAAAAUCCGGUUGAAAACGGGGUUGUAGUAUGUGAACGAAAAAACCUGAUGGUAUAAAUAAAAGGGAUUUUGGUCCAUGAAACAAAAAGGUAAACAAAUGUCUUCCCAUUGGCAUAAAUAAAAAAAAGGCUAUGUUGCGGUAUAAAUAGAAGGUGUUGUGAGCUGCGAACAAAAAAUAAAUAAAAAUCUCUUGGUUGGCAUAAACAAAAGGGUUGUGCUGUGGAGUGAAGAAAAUAAGUAAACAACACUGGGUGAACAAUUUCAGUAUUUUAGGCCAAUAUUAUUUUCGUUCAAAGGCUGAAUUAUGUCGACAAUUUCAGCAUUUUUGCAACACUGGGUGCUACUCUUAUCUAAAGUUUCGAGGUCCUUUGGGACCUUAAAAAAAACGCGACGCCGCAGUCCAUUUCUGAGCUUAUCCGAGAGCGGGACGGCUGUCAGUUGCCCGACGGCCGGCAUCAACGCCGAUGCCCUCUCCCUUCCUUCCCGCCGGUGCUGCCAUGGCUUCAACCCUCGCCGCCCUUCCCCCCGGGCUCCCACCGUCGCCACCUCCAAUCCAGACCCCUCAUCGCCACUUCAACCCACGGAUGCCAAACCUGCAGGCGCUCUCGUCCGAAACCCCCUCCGCCUCCGCCAUGGCGUCGCUCCUCGCCGCCGCCGCGCGCGCCGGCGACCUCCGCCUCGGCCGCGCGCUCCACCGCCGCCUCCUCGGCGCCGAGAUCCUCGACACCGACGCCUUGGUCGCCAACUCGCUCCUCACCAUGUACUCCAAGUGCGGCCACGUGAGCGCCGCGCGCAGGGUGUUCGACGGAAUGCGCGGCCUGCGGGACCUCGUGUCCUGGACGGCAAUGGCCUUCUGCCUCGCGCGAAACGGCGCGGAGCAGGAGGCCCUGCUCCUCCUCGGCGAGAUGCUCGAGUCGGGGCUCCGGCCCAACGCGUUCACGCUCUGCGCAGCCGCUCGUGCCUGCUUUCCGGGGGAGCUCUUUCGCCUGUCUGGCGCCGCGGUCCUUGGGUUUGUGCUCAAGACGGGGUUCUGGGGCACUGACGUGUCGGUGGGCUGCGCCUUGAUUGAUAUGUUCGCCAGGAACGGAGACCUGGUGGCAGCACGGAAGGUGUUUGAUGGGUUGGUUGAGAGGACAGUGGUCGUCUGGACUCUGAUGAUUACACGGUAUGUGCAAGGCGGGUGUGCAGGCAAGGCGGUUGAAUUAUUUCUUGGCAUGCUAGAAAAUGGUUUUGAGCCCGACGGAUACACCAUGAGCAGCAUGAUUUCGGCAUGUGCAGAGCAAGGAUCAGUCAGAUUCGGGCAGCAACUGCAUUCUCUAGUACUACGGCUGGGGCUGGUUUCUGAUACUUGUGUGAGCUGUGGACUUGUGGACAUGUACGCAAAAUUACAAAUGGAACAGUCCAUGGAAUGUGCAAGGAAAGUCUUCAAACGAAUGCCCACACAUAACGUCAUGUCAUGGACAGCACUGAUAUCAGGAUAUGUGCAAUGUGGAGCACAGGAAAACAAUGCAAUAGAACUCCUCUGCGAAAUGUUAAAUGAGAGCAUUGAACCAAACCACAUCGCAUAUUCUAGUCUUCUUAAGGCCUGUGCAAACCUUUCUGAUCAAGAUUCAGGCAGACAGAUUCAUGCCCGUGUCAUGAAAACCAGCAUAGGGAAUGUAAACGUUGUUGGGAAUGCUCUGGUCAGCAUGUAUGCUGAAUCUGGUUGCAUGGAGGAGGCUAGAAAGGCGUUCGACCAGCUUUAUGAAAGGAACAUACUUUCCACCAGUUCUGAUAUUGGUGGAACCGAGAGCAGCAAUGCCUCUUGGAGUUCUCAGAUUGAGAGCAUGGACGUCGGAGUCAGCACCUUCACAUUUGCUAGUCUGCUUAGUGCUGCUACCACUGUAGGGUUGCCAACCAAGGGUCAGCAACUGCAUGCGCUUUCAAUCAAAGCAGGCUUUGAGUCUGAUCAAGGUAUAAGCAACUCCCUUGUUUCCAUGUAUUCUAGGUGUGGAUAUUUGGAUGAUGCUUGUCGAGCAUUUGAUGAAAUGGACGACCAUAAUGUGAUUUCAUGGACUUCAGUAAUCAGUGGCUUAGCCAAGCAUGGGCACGCGGAACGAGCGUUGUCAUUGUUUCAUGACAUGAUCUUAUCCGGUGUCAAACCAAAUGAUGUCACAUACAUUGCUGUGUUAUCCGCCUGUAGCCAUGUUGGUCUGGUGAAAAAAGGAAAGGAAUACUUCAGAUCAAUGCAGAAGGAUCACGGACUCGUACCGAGGAUGGAACAUUAUGCUUGCAUGGUGGAUCUUCUUGCACGAUCAGAUCUUGUUCAAGAAGCCCUGGAGUUCAUUAAUGAAAUGCCCUGUAAAGCGAAUGCAUUGAUUUGGAAGACUCUCCUCGGUGCUUGUAGGACUUACGAUAAUAUUGAGAUUGGUAAAAUUGCAGCCAAUCAUGUCAUAGAUCUCGAGCCGCGAGAUCCAGCUCCAUAUGUCCUUCUCUCAAACUUGUAUGCCCAUGGUGGUUUAUGGGACGAAGUCGCAAGAAUAAGGAGUCUGAUGAGACACAAGAACUUGAGUAAAGAAACUGGCUUGAGUUGGAUGCAUGUUGGAAACACGAUUCACGAGUUCAGAGCUGGUGACACCGGCCAUCCGCAAGCACAAGAGAUCUAUGCAAAGUUGUCUGCGUUGAUCAGAGAAAUUAAAGACAUUGGCUACGUACCAGACACAAGCAUCGUGCUCCAUGACAUGUCGGAUGAGCUCAAGGAGGAGUGUCUGCUCCAGCACAGUGAGAAGAUUGCUGUGGCAUUUGGUUUGAUUACUACAUCGCCAACAAAACCAAUAAGGAUCUUUAAGAAUCUCCGUGUGUGCGCAGAUUGCCAUUCUGCAAUCAAGUAUAUCUCUAAAUCCACUGGAAGGGAGGUAAUACUGAGAGAUAGCAACAGGUUCCAUAGGAUGAAAGAUGGGAAAUGCUCAUGCGGAGAGUACUGGUGAGCUGUGAAUGGCGAUUGAUGAGCAGGUUUGGUUUUUUGCUUAAGAAACUCUAGAGGUUUCUUGCUCAGCAUGGCCUUUUUGCUGGCAGGAAAUAUCCACUGCUUCUUGAAGAAAGGGCCCAGAUUGAUGCUUGGAACAUCUUGAAGACAUGAGAAAUUAUGUAAUUGAGUAUGUGCUGCUCAAAUUAUGUAAUGGUCGACCAGGUUGCCUGUAAUGGAGCAUGUGUUAUGUGGAGUGUAUGGGUAUGUGGGCACUGUGCUGUUCAAUUUUUGUACUGCUGUAGAGUGUCACAUGUUUUUUUUUUUCAAUAUGAAAAAUGGAACAUC